rnacentral:tRNA from 1 species
AUUUAAGUAGUUUUGAAUAAAAUUCUAAUUUGUGGUGUUAGAGAUGCUUGUUAGGGCCUUAAAUU